rnacentral:rRNA from 1 species
AUUGAACGCUGGCGGCAUGCUUUACACAUGCAAGUCGAACGGAAACAGGCCGCUAGGUGCUGACGCGUGGCGAACGGACGAGUAAUGCAUCGGUACGUACCCAGUCGUGGGGGAUAACUACACGACAGAGAAGCUAAUAUCGUAUCCGAUCUAUGGAUGAGCGGGGGGGAGGGUAAGGGCUCGCUCGGUUGGAGGGGGCGAUGUUCGCUUAGGUAGUUGGUGGGGUAAAGGGUCACCAAGCCCAAGAUCUGUAUGUGAACUGGGAGGAGGACGGCCCACAUGGGGACGUAGACACGGACCAUGCUCCUACGGUAGGCAGCAGUCGGGAAUGGUGGACAAUGGUCGCAAGCCUUGUCCAGUAAUGGCGCGUGCAGGGAGGAAGCGUUGGGGUUGUAAACUGCUUUUGUACGGAACGAAACGGCUCUGGUUAAUACCCGGGGCUAAUGACGGUACCGUAAGAAUAAGCACCGGCUAACUACGUG